GACGAACGCUGGCGGCGUGCCUAAUACAUGCAAGUAGAACGCAGUGGCGAACGGGUGAGUAACGCGUAGGUAACUGUCUCAUAGCGGGGGAUAACUAUUGGAAACGAUAGCUAAUACCGCAUCCUGUGAGAUGGACCUGCGUUGUAUUAGCUAGUUGGUGAGGUAAAGGCUCACCAAGGCGACGAUACAUAGCCGAACUGGGAGGGUGGUCCGCCACCCUGGGACUGGGACACGGCCCAAACUCCUACGGGAGGCAGCAGUAGGGAAACUUCGGCAAUGGACGGAAGUCUGACCGAGCAACGCCGCGUGAGUGAAGGAGGUUUUCGGAUCGGAAAGCUCUGUUGUGAGAGAAGCGUUAACUAACCAGAAAGGGACGGCUAACUACGUGCCAGCAGCCGCGGUAAUUC
rnacentral:rRNA from 1 species